rnacentral:rRNA from 1 species
AGGCGAUGAAGGACGUAGUAACUUGCGAUAAGCGUAGAUGAGGCAGUAACAGCCACUUGAGUCUACGAUUUCCGAAUGGGGAAACCCACUGGCAUAAGCCAGUAUCAUUGAGUGAAUACAUAGCUCAAUGAAGCGAACCGGGAGAACUGAAACAUCUAAGUACCCCGAGGAAAAGAAAUCAACCGAGAUUCCGAAAGUAGCGGCGAGCGAAAUUGGAUUAGCCCUUAAGCUUUACAUGUGUUAGACGAACGGUCUGGAAAGUCCGACGAUAC